GGGAAUAUAACUUGAAUGGGCUUUAACAUGUUAAGUGCCCAGCCUGUUUUUGCUUUCGGAUGGAAAGCAUAGUGUCAGUCACUGGUGACUGACUGGGCACUUAAUGUGUUAAUUGAGAAUAAAAACU